GACGAACGCUGGCGGCGUGCUUAAUACAUGCAAGUCGAACGGACAGGCCCUGCUUUUGUGGGGUGCUCGUGUGGCGAACGGGUGAGUAACACGUGAGUAUCCCGCACUUGACUUUGGGAUAACUUCAGGAAACUGGGGCUAAUACCGGAUAGGAGCUCCUGCUGCAUGGUGGGGGUUGGAAAGUUUCGGCGGUUGGGGAUGGACUCGCGGCUUAUCCGCUUGUUGGUGGGGUAGUGGCUUACCAAGGCUUUGACGGGUAGCCCACCUGAGAGGGUGGCCGGGGACAAGAGGACUGAGGGACGGACCAGUCGGGAAUGGGAGGCAGUGGGCGAGAACAUGACGCAGUGGGGGGAAGCGAGAGACGGCGGCGCUGGGAGCGUAAAGACCGGUUUCGAGUUAAGAACAGCUGUCGAAGUAAACGAGGCGGUAGUGACGGUAAUUAGUCAAAAAGCACCGGCUAACUACGUG
rnacentral:rRNA from 1 species